rnacentral:rRNA from 1 species
GGACCCGCACAAGUAGUGGAGCAUGUGGUUUAAUUCGAAGAUACGCGCAGAACCUUACCAACACUUGACAUGUUCGUCGCGACUUUAAGAGAUUGAAGUUUUCGGUUCGGCCGGACGAAACACAGGUGCUGCAUGGCUGUCGUCAGCUCGUGUCGUGAGAUGUUGGGUUAAGUCCCGCAACGAGCGCAACCCUCACUUUUAGUUGCCAUCAUUUAGUUGGGCACUCUGAAAGAACUGCCAGUGAUAAGCUGGAGGAAGGUGGGGAUGACGUCAAGUCCUCAUGGCCCUUACGUGUUGGGCUACACACGUGCUACAAUGAUAUUUACAACAGGAAGCAAAACGGCGACGUUAAGCAAAUCCUUAAACGUUCGUAGUCCGGAUCGCAGUCUGCAACUCGACUGCGUG